rnacentral:rRNA from 1 species
UACGUAGGGCGCAAGCGUUGUCCGGAAUUAUUGGGCGUAAAGAGCUCGUAGGCGGCUUGUCACGUCGGCUGUGAAAACCUGGGGCUCAACCCCGGGCCUGCAGCCGAUACGGGCAAGCUAGAAUUCGGUAGGGGAGACUGGAAUUCCUGGUGUAGCGGUGAAUGCGCAGAUAUCAGGAGGAACACCGGUGGCGAAGGCGGGUCUCUGGGCCGAUAUUGACGCUGAGGAGCGAAAGCGUGGGGAGCGAACAGG